AUUGAACGCUGGCGGCAGGCUUAACACAUGCAAGUCGAGCGGGGGAAGGUAGCUUGCUACCGGACCUAGCGGCGGACGGGUGAGUAAUGCUUAGGAAUCUGCCUAUUAGUGGGGGACAACAUCUCGAAAGGGAUGCUAAUACCGCAUACGUCCUACGGGAGAAAGCAGGGGAUCUUCGGACCUUGCGCUAAUAGAUGAGCCUAAGUCGGAUUAGCUAGUUGGUGGGGUAAAGGCCUACCAAGGCGACGAUCUGUAGCGGGUCGGAGGGGAUGAUCCGCCACACUGGGACUGAGACACGGCCCAGACUCCUACGGGGAGCAGCAGUGGGGAAUAUUGGACAAUGGGGGGAACCCUGAUCCAGCCAUGCCGCGUGUGUGAAGAAGGCCUUAUGGUUGUAAAGCACUUUAAGCGAGGAGGAGGCUACUUUAGUUAAUACCUAGAGAUAGUGGACGUUACUCGCAGAAUAAGCACCGGCUAACUCUGUGCCAGCCGCCGCCGUAA
rnacentral:rRNA from 1 species